AAUCAACGCUGGCGGCGUGCCUAACACAUGCAAGUCGAACGCGAAAGGGGCUUCGGCCCCGAGUAGAGUGGCGAACGCGUGAGUAUCGCGUGGGUGACCUACCCUCGAGUGGGGGAUAACGCUCCGAAUGGGACGCUAAUAUAGCAUAACAUCCUGUCCUUGGAUGGGCGGGGAUCGAAGCCUUGGUCGGAUGAGCUAGUUGGUGGUGUAAAGGCUCACCAAGGCGACGAUCCGUAACUGGUCUGAGAGGAUGAUCAGUCACACUGGAACUGAGACACGGACCAGACUCCUACGGGAGGCAGCAGUGUGGAAUAUUGGACAAUGGGCGAAAGCCUGAUCCAGCCAUGCCGCGUGUGUGAAGAAGGUCUUCGGAUUGUAAAGCACUUUAAGUUGGGAGGAAGGGCAGCUAGUUAAUACCUGGUUGUUUUGACGUUACCAACAGAAUAAGCACCGGCUAACUUCGUGCCAGCCGCCGCCGUAAAAC
rnacentral:rRNA from 1 species